GGGGUUGACAUGGUUUUGACAGCAGAUGAGGUGAUUGUGUAAGCAUGCCGGGCAAUGUGGAUUAUCCCGUUAAACUAUUCUGCAAACCAAUUAAAUGGCGCAGAUAACUAUGCUUUUGCGGCUUAAUUUUGCGAUAGCGAGAUUGGCCUAAGUCCGACACAAGGUGUUGGAGCAGGACAUCUCCCGAAUGGACAAACCCUGUUCCGGUUCGAUAAGGAGGUGGCAGCAAUUCAGGGUUGGUUGUGUUAGGCUUCGAUAACACAACGAGAUUAAGAAGCUAAGGAAUUGUUCUGAAUGCCGGUUUUCGUUUCAGUUCCCGACAAUUAAAAACUGGAUAAGCAUGUAGAAAGCCCUUUUGUCUCCUGUUUGGACGCGGGUUCGAAUCCCGCCAACUCCACUU
rnacentral:tmRNA from 1 species